AGUGACGAUAGCCUAGGAGAUACACCUGUACCCAUGCCGAACACAGCAGUUAAGCCCUAGAACGCCUGAUGUAGUUGGGGGUUGCCCCCU
rnacentral:rRNA from 1 species